CUCAAAUCCUUUAUUUAAAGUUAACAUAACAGAUUUACCGAUCUGUAUAACAUAUUCACUGACGUCUGCUGGGUACUAUGACUUGUAGAUCAGCCAGUCUGUGCAGCGCUGCACGCGCUGGAGUCACAGGUGUUGCAAAUCAUCUGUGCGCGAGUCUAAUCCUGCGCCCCUCACAUGUCACAUCAGGCCUGUUUGUUUGUUUGUUUGUAACCUGCGGACGCGUCGCUUUGUGUUUUUGAGGAUGUCACACAAAUGUCAGGAAUUCCAAAUUCAGCCACAUUUGGAUCGUCUGCUGACAUCCGGGAACGAAGACUUUUCAACGUCUUUUCAUCUGACUGGGGCUGACUGAGGUCUCUGAGGCUACAGUCAAUAGGAUAUCGUAAACCGAUGCCCUCGGGUCUCGUCAUUUCAUGGGAUCAUCCACAGACUCACACGCUUCGGUCUUACAGAAACAGAGGGACAGGUGGCUUUGGGCUGUGAGAGUGGACAUUUUAUGGUCAAACACACGCUGUGGCUUUGGGGGAGACAAAAUCAACAAGUCAAUCUCCCACUGCUAAAAGCCCUAUGAGAAGAACAUUCCAGAAACACUACCCAGGAGACAGUGAGGAGUGUGCAGAGUCUCAUUUAUUAGGGUUGAUUUAUGUUGAGGAAAAAAGAUCAGGGAGAAAAAAAAAAGAAAUAA